UAAGCCUGUGAAGGUGUGUCGUGAGGCAUGCUGGAGGUAUCAGAAGUGCGAAUGCUGACAUAAGUAACGAUAAAGCGGGUGAAAAGCCCGCUCGCCGGAAGACCAAGGGUUCCUGUCCAACGUUAAUCGGGGCAGGGUGAGUCGACCCCUAAGGCGAGGCCGAAAGGCGUAGUCGAUGGGAAACGGGUUAAUAUUCCCGUACUUGGUGUUACUGCGAAGGGGGGACGGAGAAGGCUAUGUUGGCCGGGCGACGGUUGUCCCGGUUUAAGCGUGUAGGUGUGUGUUCCAGGUAAAUCCGGUUCACUUUAACACUGAGGCGUGACGACGAGGCACUACGGUGCUGAAGCAACAAAUGCCCUGCUUCCAGGAAAAGCCUCUAAGCAUCAGGUAACAUCAAAUCGUACCCCAAACCGACACAGGUGGUCAGGUAGAGAAUACCAAGGCGCUUGAGAGAACUCGGGUGAAGGAACUAGGCAAAAUGGUGCCGUAACUUCGGGAGAAGGCACGCUGACACGUAGGUGAAGUGAUUUACUCAUGGAGCUGAAGUCAGUCGAAGAUACCAGCUGGCUGCAACUGUUUAUUAAAAACACAGCACUGUGCAAACACGAAAGUGGACGUAUACGGUGUGACGCCUGCCCGGUGCCGGAAGGUUAAUUGAUGGGGUCAGCGCAAGCGAAGCUCCUGAUCGAAGCCCCGGUAAACGGCGGCCGUAACUAUAACGGUCCUAAGGUAGCGAAAUUCCUUGUCGGGUAAGUUCCGACCUGCACGAAUGGCGUAAUGAUGGCCAGGCUGUCUCCACCCGAGACUCAGUGAAAUUGAACUCGCUGUGAAGAUGCAGUGUACCCGCGGCAAGACGGAAAGACCCCGUGAACCUUUACUAUAGCUUGACACUGAACAUUGAGCCUUGAUGUGUAGGAUAGGUGGGAGGCUUUGAAGUGUGGACGCCAGUCUGCAUGGAGCCGACCUUGAAAUACCACCCUUUAAUGUUUGAUGUUCUAACGUGGACCCGUGAUCCGGGUUGCGGACAGUGUCUGGUGGGUAGUUUGACUGGGGCGGUCUCCUCCUAAAGAGUAACGGAGGAGCACGAAGGUUGGCUAAUCCUGGUCGGACAUCAGGAGGUUAGUGCAAUGGCAUAAGCCAGCUUGACUGCGAGCGUGACGGCGCGAGCAGGUGCGAAAGCAGGUCAUAGUGAUCCGGUGGUUCUGAAUGGAAGGGCCAUCGCUCAACGGAUAAAAGGUACUCCGGGGAUAACAGGCUGAUACCGCCCAAGAGUUCAUAUCGACGGCGGUGUUUGG
rnacentral:rRNA from 1 species